rnacentral:lncRNA from 1 species
GAGUUAACCAUAGCAAGUAAAAGAGCCCCUUUCCCAGCACAACAAACUUUACAAACCUUUCUCUCACAUUCAGAACACACAAAAGAGGCUUGUGCAGUAGUGGAAACAGAGAGCGUAUGCAAUACAGGCCCAUUUUCAGCAUGAACUUGACAUGUCCCACCCAUACAUAUCUCCCCCACUCCUGCUAUAUUCCAGAAAUCUAUAGCACUAUCAUCAGCAAACUCAAGACCACUGGAAGCAGUAAUUUUAUCCUCAAGAGAAGCAUGUCCAAGCAAAGCCAGGAUGUUUGCUAUCCUGCACAAUCCUCCUAUACGAGACGUAUGCAAUACAGGCCCAUCUUCAGCAUGAACUUGACAUGUCCCACCCAUACAUAUCUCCCCCACUCCUGCUAUAUUCCAGAAAUCUAUAGUACUAUCAUCAGCAAACUCAAGACCACUGGAAGCAGUAAUUUUAUCCUCAAGAGAAGCAUGUCCAAGCAAAGCAAGG